AGCCCAAACCAAGGAGCUUGCUCCUUGGGGUUGUGGGACGUCUCACAUGGAGUUACAAAGGAACCGGUUAGAUGAAGAGGUCUGGAAAGGCCCGCCAGAGAAGGUAAAAGCCCUGUAGUUCAAAACCCGUUCCCUCCGAGACGGAUCCCGAGUAGUGCGGGGCACGUGAAACCCCGUAUGAAUCCGGCAGGACCAUCUGCCAAGGCUAAAUACUCCCUGGCGACCGAUAGUGAAGCAGUACCGUGAGGGAAAGGU
rnacentral:rRNA from 1 species